ensembl:lncRNA
GAAAAUUGGACUUGAUCAUAACCCAGCGGCGCUGGGUUGUGAACGCGGACGUGAAGGAGAGCACGCACGUCACGUUAAAAUCGUACGUCUCCAGUGCAAGAAGCCGCCAUUUUCUCAGCGUGAAAGAAGCGAGAAGCGAGUGAAAGACAUUACGACUUGUUAAGCUCGUGUCUUCAUUGUCCCCGCACUGAGAGUUAAAGACACCUGCUCUUGUGAGGAGUCACGGACUGUGUGAGGAGGAGGCGUGUUCUCAGCUUCUUCUGAAGAGAGGGACAGACGGGUUUAAGGCAAGUGAACUUCAGAAUUAUGUUAUCUUUUUUUUUUUUACUAAGACUAAAAUAAUGUUUGUUUUUGUAGAUGUUGAAAGCCAGAGACAUAGGAGAGCAUCAUUCUUUUGAGAUUUAUAACUCAAGCUAACUUUGGAGUUAAGGACACAGAAGCCUGCUUGUGUGAGGAGGAGGCGGUGUUCUCGGCUUCUGAAGAGAGGGAAAGAUAAUUUAAG